rnacentral:rRNA from 1 species
GAUGAACGCUGGCGGCGUGCCUAAUACAUGCAAGUCGAGCGAAUGGAUUAAGAGCUUGCUCUUAUGAAGUUAGCGGCGGACGGGUGAGUAACACGUGGGUAACCUGCCCAUAAGACUGGGAUAACUCCGGGAAACCGGGGCUAAUACCGGAUAACAUUUUGAACCGCACGGUUCGAAAUUGAAAGGCGGCUUCGGCUGUCACUUAUGGAUGGACCCGCGUCGCAUUAGCUAGUUGGUGAGGUAACGGCUCACCAAGGCAACGAUGCGUAGUCGACCGGAGAGGGUGAUCGGCCACACUGGGACUGAGACACGGCCCAGACUCCUACGGGAGGCAGCAGUAGGGAAUCUUCCGCAAUGGACGAAAGUCUGACGGAGCAACGCCGCGUGAGUGAUGAAGGCUUUCGGGUCGUAAAACUCUGUUGUUAGGGAAGAACAAGUGCUAGUUGAAUAAGCUGGCACCUUGACGGUACCUAACCAGAAAGCCACGGCUAACUACGUGCCAGCAGCCGCAGUAA